rnacentral:misc_RNA from 1 species
UACGAAGGGGGCUAGCGUUGUUCGGAAUCACUGGGCGUAAAGCGCACGUAGGCGGAUGCAUAAGUCAGAGGUGAAAGCCCAGGGCUCAACCCUGGAAUUGCCUUUGAAACUAUGCAUCUAGAAUGUCGGAGGGGGUAGCGGAAUUCCUAAUGUAGGGGUGAAAUCCGUAGAUAUUAGGAGGAACACCGGUGGCGAAGGCGGCUACCUGGACGACGAUUGACGCAGAGGUGCGAAAGCGUGGGGAGCAAACAGG